GUCUAUGGCCAUGCUACCCUGAACAAGCCCAAUCCCAUCUGAUCUCAGAAGCUAAGCAGGGUUGGGCCUGGUUAGUACUUGGAUGGGAGACCACCUAGGAAGACCAGGUGCUGUAGGCG
rnacentral:rRNA from 1 species